GCAGAGGCAGGCGGAACUCUGAGUUCAAGACCAGCCUGGCUUACAGAGUGAGUUCCAGGACAGCCAGGGCUAUACAGAGAUCCUAUCUCAAACAGAUAGAGAAACCCUGUCUCAAACAAACCAACCAACCAACAAACAAACAAACAGCAGUUAUCAAGGAAAGUGAUUCAUGACUGGCACAACUAGAUCCUUUGCACAACUAUAAGAACAUCUAGCAUAAGAAACCAAACUACCAAGCUACUGAUACAUGGGUCCAAAGUAACAGGACAGAACAACAUCCCAGGUGGCAAAUGAAAUGGCUCAGGAAAGGGAAAAGGCACUUGCUGUAAAGUGACAAGCUGAGCUUGGUUCGCAGGACCCACAUGGUUGAAACAGAGAACCCACUCCUGCAAGUUGUCCUCUGACCUCCACUCUGGUGUUCAUGGCACACAAGCCCUAUUCCCAAAUGAAUAACACAACAAAAAUAAAAAUGCCCAAGGUUUUUGUAGUCUUGUCAUUUAACUACUUCUUGAGUUCAUUAAAGAAAGGAAUACCUGUCACGUUACAAAUAUUUCCAAUUUGUAAGUGAAAUAAUUAUAUAAAAAAAGUACUAAGUAUGAUGAAUUGGAAGCUCUCCCUUAUUAUAAGGUACAACAUCCGAUUGCAUAAAUAGCCUGUGAUUCACUCAACAGUUGGACAGUGAACCUAAACCAAGAUAACUUCGAUGUCACCAAGUGUUGCAUCUAAGACAGUGGUGCUAUGGGUCUAAAUGUUGUGAGGCCCCUGCAAUAUGUAUAAUAUAAACCAAGAUCUGCCUUUAGAAGACUAUGCUCACACUUGGGUAUAUUAUUCUUUUCUAAACGCCUAUUAGCCCCAGUACUUAAAACUGUUAUAAAUGUAGGGGCCAGAGAGAUGGCUCAUUGGCUAAGAGAACUUGCUGUCCUUGCGGAGGACCCAGUUUGGCGUCUCAGAACACACAUGGCGACUACAAAACUUCUCUUUGUAACACCAGUUCCAGAAGAUCCAACACCCUCUCCUGGCCUCUAUGUACGAUGCAUGCGUGCAAAACAUACACAUACGAAUAAAUAUUUUUAAAUUUUAUUUUACUGUUUUAAAUGUAUCUUAACUCCAGCUCCGCUUUAAUAUGUACUACGUAUAAUAAAACAAGACUUCGUCUCAGAAAAAUAAAGGCAAACAUAGUACUGGAUGCAAAACAUCCCUAAUUUCCCUAAGGUGGAGAACCCUUCCCAAGGUGCCCCAAAUGCACAAGGUUGGCUGAGAAAACUGAGCACUGGAUUGGGGUACCAACAGAGCUCAAGCCCGCGAGGGACAACGGGAAAUGUAGUCCAAGAUAGGGAAGCCUAUGAAAAACGGUACGGCCAAGCAUCGCAAUUAGUCUGAAGGCUGAGACUCGGUCCGCGGCGCCUGCUUCCAUACUUACCAUGGAGCUUCGGGAUAGCUCCAGAUCCUUCAGCUGUUUCCUCUUUGGCCGGGCUGCCUGCUGCCCACAGCAGGAUUCCCACCUCAAGACCAGCGGACUCUGCCAGGUGGUGAUAUUAGUAGCCAAAUAGAAAAUCUCGAGAAAUCUGGACUGGAAAGAUGGUUGAGUGGAUAAAAGCUCUUGUUGCUUAUUCAGAGGACUGGAGUUGGACUAGAGUCAUCACAUUGGGUGACUUACAACUUCCUAUAAUUCCAUCUUCAAGAAACCCCUUAUAAUCUUCUUGAGUACCUGUGUACAUGUGAAUAUACAUACAUACACAUAAAUAGAAACAAAUUUUAACUGAAAAUAAAAUCUCAAGAAAAACCCAAA